rnacentral:hammerhead_ribozyme from 1 species
AUCUAGCUGACGAGUCCUAAAUAGGACAAGACUCAUGUCCUGAAU